UGAGCCAAUAAAUAAGGCAUAACAAUUAAAAAUAAAAAAUAAUAGUUUAUCAAUAUUCAGUGUAAUUACUUUGUAUGAACUAAACGAAAACAAAAAACCAAUGAGAAAAUAAAAAAAUAUAUUUUAACUUAAUUUUUUGCAUUUAUUUAUUAUGUUUUAUAUAUUUAAUUCAAUCAAGAUUGCAUUACGUUAAAUAGCUGAUUAAAAACCUUAAAGAAAUAUAUAUAAAAAAUAAAUAGUUAAAGCCAGAAAUUAAGCAAUUAAAAAUACAAUUAUUUUACCAAUACAACCCCAGUGAAAAUAUAAAGCGUAGUAAAUUUGACAAAAUACUACAAAUAUAAAUAAUUAAUUAAUGUGAAAAUAAUUAAUUGAAUAAUAAAAUUUACUCGAAUAACAAAAACAACUGUUGCAUUUAUUGACGAAUCUGGAUUAAAAAGUUUUGGAACAUAUUUUAAGCUUUGUGAAAAUUUAAUUAACAACAACUGUGCCACAAAACUAAAACAACACAAAAUGCUA